rnacentral:misc_RNA from 1 species
GAUGAAGAACGUAGCGAAAUGCGAUAAGUAAUGUGAAUUGCAGAAUUUAGUGAAUCAUCGAAUCUUUGAACGCACAUUGCGCCCGCUAGUAUUCUGGCGGGCAUGCCUGUUCGAGCGUCAUUUCAACCAUCAAGCCCCCAGGGGCUUGUGCUGGGGCCCUGCGGCUGCCCGCAGGCCCUGAAAACCAGUGGCGGGCUCGCUAGUCACACCGAGCGCAGUAGCACAUCUCGCUCAGGGCGUGCGGCGGGCUCCUGCCGUGAAACCCCCCACUGUAACCCCAAAGGUUGACCUCGGAUCAGGUAGGAAUACCCGCUGAACUUAAGCAUAUCAAUAAGCGGAGGA